GGUGUUAUAGUAUAGUGGUUAGUACGAUUCGUUGUGGCCUGAAGUGUUCAGCUCCGAAUAGACCCAGGUUCGAUUCCUGGUAACGCCA